rnacentral:rRNA from 1 species
UACAGAGGGGGCAAGCGUUAUUCGGAAUUAUUGGGCGUAAAGGGCGAGUAGGCGGCCUCCUAAGUCAGACGUGAAAUCCCCCGGCUUAACCUGGGAACUGCGUCUGAUACUGGGAAGCUUGAGUAUGGGAGAGGAAGGUAGAAUUCCAGGUGUAGCGGUGAAAUGCGUAGAUAUCUGGAGGAAUACCGGUGGCGAAGGCGGCCUUCUGGACCAUAACUGACGCUGAUCCGCGAAAGCUAGGGGAGCAAACGGG